AUAUUAGACGAAAUUGGGAACAUCCCAUAAUAAUUAUAUAUUCUCGUCGAGAAUAUAUAACGUCAAUGGUUCGUCGUGUACGAUCCUCUGCGAGUUGUUUAUCUUCACAGCAGAUUACGUGAGUAAGAGUUUGGAGCAUUUGUAAAAUGGGCCAACAUUUUGUUAGUAUU
rnacentral:sRNA from 12 species